rnacentral:lncRNA from 1 species
GAAUCAAGAGAGCAGGAUUCAAGUGCUCCUUGAAUCAAUUCACUGUUUCUCGGAUCAGGGUUUUAUAUAUUAGUGGUACUUUUGUUUUCAUUGAUGCAUAUAUAAAAUGCAUCAGAUUUAACCUCUGUUUCUUUCGUCAUCUUUAAUUGAAUAUUAGUGACCUUGGUCAGAAUUAAAUAGUGUUCCAUUUUUCUAUCCCUCUGUUGUGAUAUGUGUGUUUUCUCCAUUAACGUUGAUUUGUUUAGUAUUGCAGUAAUGUCAUAAUGUGUUAAUGUGAUAUCCCUUGAAGGUUUAACACCUACUGUUGAAACUUACGGUAUUAUUUUGGAUUCAUUCUGAUUCAUGGAUUUCUCAAGGAGGGGAAAGUUGACGAGGCUAUAAACCUUUUUCAUAGUCUUCCUUUGAAGGGUUUACGCCCUACAGUGAUAUCCUACAACUUUAUGAUCAAAUAAUUGCUGGAAGAAGCAUAUAAAAUGCUUUUGGAAUUGAAAGAAAAUAAUUGCUUGCCUAAUGAAGUUACAAUACUACACUUUUAUCCGUGGCUGCUUUAAGAAUAAGAUGUAUGAUGGAGGUUAUGUGCUGAUAGAUGAGAUUUGUGCUCAUGGUUUUAAAGCAGAUGCCUCUACCACCUCCAUGCUAUUCGACUUGCUGCAUUCAAAAGAGCAGAUGCCUCUACCACCUCCAUGCCUUGAGUACAUCAAGGAGAGAGUGAAUUAUGGUACAAAAUACUUUUAAAAUGCCAGGACUUACUAAUAAUUUGUUACAAACUUUGACGUCAAUAGCAAUUGUGAUAUUGGAGUUGAUAAUAUGUAAUUUUGUUGAAUAUCAGCUUUGCAAAUGGUGUCUGGGUUGUAUUUGCAUUAUUUGACAAAAUGAAAAGAAUGAUAAAGCUUGUGUUUUUUCUUCGACCAAAUGCAGGAAGCUGGGUUCUCUGGAGAUGCAUACCACCAGUAUAUUACAUUACAAGACCUGUACGGAACAAAUUACCUGGACCCUUCUACUCUUGCUUUGCGGUGAAAAUUUUGUCAUGGGUACUGCAAUCUCAUGACGCAAACACUCUGCAGCAUUAUUAUUUACUUGCAUUACAUUGUAAGUUUGUCUUUUAUUUCUGGCAGGCUGCUAAGACUUAACUUAAUUACUGUAGGGCUAACAUGUAGUUGCAUAAUGGUGUCUUGAGUGCAGCAAAUGUGAAGUACACCAACAUUUCCAUUUAUUUCCAUUUAUUUAUUGAUGUAUUAGUUAUUUGUAUUAUAUAUUCUAUUCGUUGUCUCUUUGCCAUUUCUUCAUUUCUUCACUACCUGAUCCUAAUCCCAGUAUUCAAAUCCCCCUAUAUUCCUUCAUCAAUGCCUCAUUUGCAGCUUCAGCAGUUACUUCAUUCGGAAUAUGAGGUUUGUUUUGAUUAACUAUUCUUGUGUGAUUGACUUCAAUCAACUGUUAUCCGCCAUCGUUGAAACAUAACCAUACACUGUUGCUGUUUCUUUUUACUGAUACUUGUAGUUUCUCCAUUCCAGUUGAUCUAUAUACCAUUAAUACCGUCAUUAAUUAUUGUUGUCAAUUGAAUAGAGUUUAUUAUGCUUUUUCAUGAAGCGUCUUCUUUUGCCAAAUGUUGUUACCUACACCAUUCUCUAUAGGGGGUUAUCUCCCAUGACAAACUUCUGGAGGUUGAGCACUGGUUCGAGAAGCUCAGCAUAAUCAGACUAAUUGAACCUGGUAUUGUUCCAUUAUUGAUAGGUUGCAACAAACCUAUCAAUAUGGACCUCCACUCUUGCAAGUUCAAUAAAUUCUUCUCAACGUCUUAUUUUUGCAAGUACCAGAGUGCCCACCUCAGGAGCUUACAUGAUUUUCAUGGACCACCAUAUACUUGUGAUUUAGGCCUCAUUUGUUAACGAGUGAACGAGACAGAUAUAGCUGGACGAGAAAAAGGUUAGCUAUUCAGAUUGUUUGUUGCUGUCGUAAUUCAACUGAACGACUGGAAAAUUCGCUGGACGAAAGAGGCUACAUAACUUCGCUGGAUGGUUCAUAUAUCUUGCUUGUGUAAGUGUGUUGAUGAAUAUGUGUGCUAAUUUAACAUAUAAUUGCUUUAUAUAAUAACUUCUUAUAUUAUAAUAUAUUUAUGAUUAUAAAAUUAAUAAAAUAAAUAGUUAAUUUUAAUUAACAAUAUUUGAAUCUUAUAAAAUAGUGGCUUAUAUAUUAACACAUCGAUUAUUAUUUUAAAAGAAAUGCAUUUAUUAUUAUAUAGAGAUAAUUGAUAAGAAAUUUGUAUUGUAAAUUUUUUUCAUGUUAAUUUAAUGAAUUAUCCAUUAUAAAUCUUAUUUUCUAAUAAAAAUAAUUAUUAAAUAAAUUUAAUAUAUAAUUUUAAGUCAUUCAGAUUUAAUUUAACAAAUGAUUCAAAAAUACAAUCAUCCAGAUAUUUACUCAUUCAGAAUUUUCAUUCAUCCAGAAAAUAUGAUCCAGAUUUAACAAAUGACCCCUUAAUCGUCACAAGUGUAUCUUUGACCGAUACAUGGGUUGUGUUAGGCUGCUCAUUAGGAGGUUCAAAAAUCAUCCUUUUUUUUUCAAAUUUUAAAUAUGUUAUUUAUAAUAUAUAUGACGUUGUAUUUAUUAUAUACUAGAUUCACGUUUCAUAUGUAUUAGAUAAUAGAAUUUGUAAUAAAACUAAGAAUUUAUAGUGACUUACCACGAAACUCCAUAAAAAACUAUAAAUUAUAUAUAUAUUGAAUUAUUAUAUUUUACAAAUUCUAUGAAAUAUGAAUUAUGUUGAAUAUUAAACUAAGGGAGUUGAAGGUGUAUUCGUCGUGAUUUUAAUAGAUUAAUUUAUGAAUGUUAAUAGAUUGUAUGUGAUUUUGGGCGGAUUCUUAAUAAAAUGUCGUUUAACUGGUAUAGUUUUGUUAGGAUUUAAGCACAAUACUUUAAAAUAUUAUAUAUUUUGGUGGAAUUUCAAAAAGUUCAAAAUAUACCGACCAUAUAUCAUUUUAUGAAGUUCAAAAAAAUCUAUCAGUAUCCGAAUACCAUCACAUUUCAAUGGAUUUUAAAAAAUCCCAAUUGAAUACCGUUAGAUUUUAUAGCAUAAUUGAAAAUCCGAUUAAAUACCACCAUAUAUUGUAGAUAUAAAAUUCCAAUUGAAUACCACGAAUGAAAAAUCUUUAAAAAUCCCAAUUAAAUACACCUGUUAAAUAUAAUUUCGCUUAUUUAUAAACACUCUAAAAUCAUCAAUAUACUUAUAUAAAGGAGAAGCGAGGGGCGUGUAGGUGGCGCCUCUCACAUCGCUCCGUUCUAUUUUUCUAAAUUUCUGGAAUUUUUGGAUGAAAAAUAUCAAAAAUUAGAACUACCUUUUUUAGUUUCGGGUAUAUUAUAAGCAAGUUUCAGAAUCUGAUUUUGUUUCAGAUUAUUUAUGGAAUAUAGUAGUUUGAAAGUUUUAAUCUGAUUUUGUUUUAGAUUAUUUAAUUAUGGGAAAAAGUAGCACAUAAGUCUUUCUGCACCUAUAAAUACCCCGGUAGAUCGUAGGUUUUUGAAUCAUCUAAAUACAACCUCCUCUCUCUCAAUACCACAACCCUACCUCUCUAAUGAUAGUUCGCUUGCUUGAUUUCUAACUCGGUGGUGCUAUUCUUCUGCAACAAUAAGUGAAGGCUCUUUAUAUAGUAUUAAAAAAAUAAAGGUUGUUGCAAGCAAAGGUAGUUUUAGACCGCUAUGCGGGAGUCGACAAAUUCAAACAUGGGAAAAGAAUAUAGUCUUGACAUGAUAUUGAUGGAUGAUAUCAAUAAAUUAACUAUUAGUGAUGUAUGUUUAUUGGUUAUUCUUUUAUAAUAUUUGUUUUGUUCAUCGGACAUGUUUGUUGUUGUUAAUUUUUAUAUGAUUUAUUUUUUAUACAUGAAAAUAUGGUGGAGAAGCGAGGGGCGUGUAGGUGGCGCCUCUCACAUCGCUCCGUUCUAUUUUUAUAAUUUUUUGGAAUUUUUGGAUGAAAAAUAUCAAAAAUUAGAACUACCUUUUUUGGUUUCGGGUAUAUUGCAAGAAAAUUUCAGAAUCUGAUUUUGUUUCAGAUUAUUUAUGGAAUAUAGUAGCUUAAAAGUUUUAAUCUGAUUUUGUUUCAGAUUAUUUAAUUAUGAGAAAGAGUAGCACACAAGUAUCUCUGCACCUAUAAAUACCCAUAUAGAUUGUAGGGUUUUGGAUCAUCUAAACACAACCUACUCUCACUCAAUACUACAACCUCACAGAUUUAAGUUGAAUGUUUUUGUGCACAAUCAAUCCAAAAAAUAGUAGCUUAAAAGUUUUAAUCUGAUUUUGUUUCAGAUUAUUUAAUUAUGAGAAAGAGUAGCACACAAGUAUCUCUGCAUCUAUAAAUACCCAUAUAGAUUGUAGGGUUUUGGAUCAUCUAAACACAACCUACUCUCACUCAAUAUUACAACCUCACAGAUUUAAGUUAGAUGUUUUUGUGCACAAUCAAUCCAAAAAAAUUGGAGAAAGGUGACAAUUUAAAAACAUAAUUUCUUUUCAAAAAAAAAAACACAAAUAAAAUUAAGAUUCGUCGUGCUUUAAAUUGUUAAUUACGUGUAUAAAUUUAUUUUCAUUUUUUCACCAUGAAUUAUAGUCCAAUUUUGCAAUUUUAUAUAUUAGUAUUGGUAUUACAUCAAGAUUUUUAUAAUAUAAAAUAUAUUUAUCCUACAAAUAUUAAUUUUGAAACAUUAAUAUACUUUUUAUAGACAUCCACAAAAUUAUUUUAUUCUACAAAUAUUAAUAUUGAAUCAUUAAUAUAAUUUUUAUAAGCCGCCGCAACGCGCGGCUUCUCAACUAGUAAUAACUAAGAGCAAGUGCGAUAGGUUAACUAUUUCCUUGUAUAAUACUAUGAAAUAGUGAAUCUUAGAUUUAGAAGAUCAACUUUUAGUGUCAACUCCUAUAGAAAUUCUUAUUUUUGUUCCCUAUUAUUAUUUUAACAAUAAAUUUUAGGAAAAGAAGGAAGAAAUGAGAGAAAAGAUAAAAAAAAAAAGAAAUAAAUUGUUUAUUCAUAAAUAUUAAAUAUAUAAUGAUUAGAGAUUACCUAAAAUAGGUAAUAAUUAGAAAAUUUGGAAAUGCGCUAAUAAUUUAGAUAAUCAGCAUAUAAUGGUGGACACUGAUACAUUACCCAAAUAUAAAUAUAGAACCUCAUUUAGAUAUAUCAUUGUUCAUAUUAUUUUUAAUUAACUAAGCAAACAUCCCAUUUUUAAUGUUCCAUAUGUUUUUUAUAUGUCAUUUUUGACUUGAGCACGCACUUUUAGGUUAGUAGACUAGAUGUUAAUUAUUAUUAUUUUUAAUUAAUUUUUUUGUGAAAUAAAAUUUGAAUUACAUAAUUUUUCAUAGAAAAAACAUUCAAAAAUAAUAUUUUUAACUGUUCGGUCAAAACAAUUAAAAAAUACUAUGUAUCACAAGUUAAAACGUCUUAUAUCAAAAAUAGAGGGAGUAUAAUUGGAGGGGGAGAGCAUUAUUAAAGUCGAAUACAGAAAAAGGGAAAGUAAGUGAGAGAGUGAGGAGGAUGAUGAUGUCGAGAAUGAGAAGCGCUUUCACUGCUUGCUUCACUUCAGACGCUGUUUGUGACAAGGGCUUUCUUGGAUUUCUCAGACAUGGUACUCCUGCUCUUACUACUGCUAGUUCUUCUUGUCGUGUUAUUACACUUUCUCAAUCCUCCACUUGCCCUAACCCUAAUCACAUACCCAAUCAUCUUUCGGAAUUUGACCAAUUACUGUUGGAGAAAUCUAGAGUUGGUUUUGAUAAGCUCGAUGAUGCUCUUCGAGUGUUUGAUAAAAUGCUCCGUAUGAAGCCUCUUCCUAUUGUCAUGAAAUUUAAUCAACUCUUGGCCGCCCUUGUCAAGAUGAAACAUUACUCCGCGGCUGUCUCCGUCUUUUCAAAGAUGUGCACUUUUAACAUUGCUGUUGAUAUAGUUACUUAUAGUAUUGUAAUCAACUGUUGUUGCCAUUUGAAACGCGUUGAUUAUGGCUUUGCGCUGUUGGCUGCCAUCUUUAAGCGUGGUUUUGUCCCUACUAUCGUUACCUACACAACUCUUGUUAGGGGACUCAUAUCCCAGGAUAGGUUUCUUGAGGCUGAGCUUAUGUUCAAGAACCUUCUCAAGUACAAUGAGAUUCAGCCCAAUGCAGUUAUUUUUAACACCAUCAUUGACGGCCUCUGCAAAACUGGCAACACUUCCCAGGCUAUGAUGUUGCUUAGAUACAUGGAGAAGAAAGGUUGUAUGCCGAACGUUGUAAAUUAUAACACUAUUAUUGAUGGUUUGUCCAAAGACAGAUUAGUCGAUGAUGCUCUGGGUCUUCUUGCCGAAAUGAGAGACAAAGGCAUUCAACCAGAUGUUGUAACCUACAGCUCACUAAUUCUAGGUCUGUGCAACUUUAACCGAUGGGAUGAUAUAACACAAUUGUUAAAAGAUAUGGACAAACACAAAAUUUCUCCAGAUAAGCAUACUUAUAAUAUAUUGAUUGAUGCACAUGCCAGAGAUGGAAAGGUCAAAGAUGCUGAAUAUCUAAUAGAGUUAAUGAUUCGAAGAGGCCAACCUGCGGAUGUAGUCACAUAUAAUACGCUAAUGGAUGGAUACUGCUUGAGAGGAGAGUUGGAUAAAGCGUUAGCAGUGCUCAGAAUCAUGAGAAAUGAGGGGAUUUUCCCCGAUGCUCAUACCUAUACCAUAUUGAUCAAUGGUUAUUGUAAAAAGAUGAAAGUAGACACAGCCAUACAUCUCUUAGAAGAAAUGACCCUGAAAGGUUUAACACCUGCAAUCGAAACGUACAAUACUAUUCUAGAUGGGUUAUUUCGUGCGCGUAGGCUUGAUGAAGCACAUAAGUUUUAUAAGAAGAUGUUAAACCAAGGUGUUAAACGGAAUGUAGUGACAUGCAGGAUCUUGUUGCAUGGACUUUGCUGGAAUGGACUUGUUGUUGAAGCAAUGUCCGUGUUUCACAAGAUGGAGUCAUGUGGUUUAGUUCCUGACAUACAAAUUUAUUCUAUUCUGAUUCAUGGAUUGUUCAAGAAUGGCAAGGUUGACGAGGCAAGAAACCUUUUUCAAACUAUUCUUUUCAAGGGUUUACGGCCUAGUGUCAUAUCUUACAACAUUAUGAUCCAAGGAUUCUGUCAAGAGGGGUUGCUGGAAGAAGCAUAUAAUAUACUCUUGGAAAUGGAAGAAAACAAUUGCUUGCCUGAGGAAGUUACAUACAAUACUCUUAUCCGCGGCUGCUUUAAGAAUAAGAUGUAUGAUGGAGCUUGUGUGCUUAUAGAUGAAAUGUGUGCUCAUGGUUUCAAAGCAGAUGCCUCUACCACCUCCAUGCUAUUUGAUUUGCUGCAAUCGAAGGAGCAGGACCCUGCGCUCCAUGCUUUGCAAAAGAAGUUCAUGCCUUGAGUACAUCAAUGAGAGAGUUUAUUAAGGUACAAAAUACUUUUAAAUUGCCGGAACUUUGUAAUAGUUUGCUACAAUAUUUUAAAUCAAUAGCAAUUGUGAUAUUGGAGUUGAUAAAAUAUUUGAGUUUGUUAAAUAUUUACUUUUGAAGUGGUGGCCGUGUUGUCUUUGCAUCAUUUUGCAAAACGAGAAGUAUGAUAAAGCAUGCAUUUUUUCUUCGGCAAAAUACUAGAAGCUGGGUUCUUAGGGGAUGCAUACCACCUGUGUAUUACGAGACCUACUUGGAACAAAUUAGCUGGAUCCUUCUACUCUUUCUUUUCGUAAAAAGUUUGCCAUGACACUCUGCAGCAUUAUAUUUUACUUGCAUUACAUUGUAAGUUUGUCUUCUAUUUUUGCAGUCGACUACCAGUUAUUUCAAGUACUGUAUGGGUUACAUGUAGUUGCAUAAAGGUGUCUUCAGUGCAGCAAAUGUGAAGUACACCAACAUUUCCAUUUAUUUUGUUGAUAUAUUAGUUCUUAGUAUUAUAUAUUUUAUUCCUUGUCUCUUUGUAAUUUUAAUAUCUCUUCUAAAAUACAGGGAAAUGAUCCAAAAUACUAUCCUCUGUUUUUAAAUUUGUUUUCAUUUUCAAAUAAUUAAUUUUUUUUCAUUUUACUAUGUUCACAAAAUUUUAUAUAAAUUGCCUAAAUUUAAGUUUGUUUAUACGGAAAUACUCUAAGCAACUAAGUAUGAGCCUAUCUGUAACUAUUAUAUAAAACCAUUGCGGAGACGAUGAGAAAGGCUGUCACUACAUCCUCAGUGUCUUACUAUUAUUUACUUUCUCAUUUCUCACAACCUGAUCCUAGUCCCAGUAUUCAAAUCCCCAUAUAUUCCUUCUUCAUCUAUACCUCAUUUGUAGCUUCAGCAGUUACUUCAUAAGGAAUAUGAGGUUUGUUUUGAUAUUAACUAUUCUUUAUGAUUGACUUCAAUCAACUGUUAUCCGCCAUCGCUAAAACAUAACAAUACACUGUUGCUGUUUCUUUUUAGUGAUAUUUGUACAUUCUCCAUUCCAGUUGAUCUAUAUACCAUUAAUACCGUCAUUUAUUAUUGUUGUCAACUGAAUAGAGUUUAUAAUGCUUUUUCAUGAAGUGUCUUCUUUUGCCAAAUGUUAUCUACACCAUACUCUUAGAGCAACUCCAAUGGGGGUACCAUUAAUACACUGUUGCUGUUUCAUGAAGCGUCUUCUUUUGCCAAAUGUUGUUACCUACACCAUACUCUUAAGGGGUUAUCUCUCAUGACAAACCUCUGUAGGUUGAGCACUGGUUCGAGAAGCUCAGCAUAAUCAGACUAAUUGAACCUGGUGUUGUUCCAUUAUUGAUAGGUUGCAACAAACCUAUCAAUAUGGACCUUCCACUCUUGCAAGUUUAAUAAAUAUGUUCUCAACAUCAUAUUUUUGUUUUGGGCUGCUAACAAGCGCUUUUAAGUUCGCAAAGUACCAGAGUGCCCACCCUAGGAGCUUCCAUGAUUUUCAUGGACCAGCAUAUACUUGUGAUUUAAUUGUCACAAUUCUAUUAGUUCUGACCAUUAGAUCCAGGCGUGGCAAAACAGUUAACAGAAGCACCUUCAUAUCCAAAGCUAUUCACGACCCAUGCCAAAAGCCAUUCAUUCAGCAUCUUCCGCAUCUUUCAUUCCAUGAUUUCAAUCAUUAGCUGUUGUUCAUUUUAAUUCCUUUUGCUAAUCCCCAGGGGACCAUUCCAUUUAUCCGUUCUUCUCUCGGAGACCUCUUUUUUAGUUUUGUCUUUGUCAUUGAUUAGCGAUACGUCUACCUGAUCUCCCCAAAUGAACAUGUCAGUAGGAUGGUACAUGCCAAUGUUCGAGUAAAUGCUAUAUACAUACAUAGUUAUAUUCACGUCUCCUGAUUAGCAAAAACGUCCACUUCUUGGGUGAUUCAACUUGUAAAGGUUAGUUUUCUCCAAAAACUUUUUUUUUUUUUUUAUGUUUUUGUUGUGUUCUUUGGUUUGUGUUGCUGAUAAAGAUGAUAGGAUUGAUUGAUGAUCUUUUUGUGCUAAAGUCAAGAUUAUGGGAUGUUUUGUGUUCGUUUGAAGUUUUGGUAUCGAACUAUAUGAUCUCACAAUUGUUGUGAGUUUGACCACUUUAUCUUUAUUUAUAAAUUUAUUUUUAUUGUAUUUACAAGACCACUUUACUUUCAAAUGCAUAAAUAUUAAAGCUUGAUGGUGUUUUUUUUGGGUUUUAUGUGUGUGAACUCUGAUUGUAUUGGUUUCUUUAUUGCUUGAUGUUUUUGUAGAGUUUGGUGCGUGCAGGAGUUGUGAAGAAACUUUGAGGAGUUUUGGGCCAUUCUUGAUUUAGGUCAUUACUAAAUGUGGACCAUAAGGAGUGUUGUCUACAUGAUGGGCUUCUGUGGUCAAGGACUCAAGGUUCUGGGCAACACUUUAAUGGGGACUUUUCAAUGGCUGUAGUUCAAGCUAAUAAUUUACUGGAGGCUCAGAGUCAGCUUGAAUCAGGCUGUCUGAGCUUUAACGAGUCAGGCCUGUAUUGUACUAUUGUAGGAGUUUAUGAUGGACAUUGUGGCCCUGAGACAUUGCCUUUAUCAGUGUUCAACUCUUUCAGCUUCUAAAGAGUAACUAUCUUUUCUUCCAAUAGAGUUUUAAGUCAUUGUAUUGGAUUUGUUAGUUUCUUACAAGAACUAAGAUAUACUAAAUGGACGCAAACUGUAGAUUUUGUUGAAUACUGAUGCUUAUUAUUCGUUUGAACCUUCAUGAUGACCAAAUAAAUGUUGUGGCUUACUUGUUUCGUGCAUGUUUUUGUUUUAGGCGAAACCCUAUUACAUUUGACACGUACCUUAAAAAAAACAUAGGGUGGUUCCAUUCAUGUAUGGGAAACCAAAUAAAAUGAACUUGUAAACAAUUGAGGAAUCAUUGAUGUGUAUGCUUUUAGUCUCUCUUACUUUUCCAUGGGUUUGAGGUUAAGUAUCUAUCUGUGUUUUGCAGAAUUUGCAUCUGAGCAUCAAUCCAUGUCAGAGGAGUUAAUAAGAAAGGCAUUUCAUGCAACAGAAGAGAGUUAUACAUCUAUUAUUCGCAAGCAAUGGCCAAUACAAAUUACAACUUGCCGCAGUCGGGUCCUGUUGCUGGGUUGGAGUGAUAUGCAUGGAAAUCUCUAUAUUGCAAAUCUUGGUGACUCAUGUGCUGUGUUAGGCACACUUGUCAAGCCAAGAGGGGAAGUUCUUGCUAUUCAGCUUUCAGCGGAACAUAAUACGUGCAUCGAGUACGAAGACGAGAGUUGCAUUCUGUUCACCCAGAUGAUCGGCAGAUAGUUGUAAUCAUAUGUAGUUCCUGUCUUCAGGUCCCAGAUCUGUCUUUCAAAAGCCGAGAACAACUCAAAAAAUGUAAGACUCUGAACUUGUAAAUAUAUACUUUUCACUAGCCAUUUGGGCUGCCACAAUGAUGUCUAACACCUUGAAGGCCUCAGUUGUGGUGUUUACCGGAACCGGCUCCAUGGCUAUUCUUCUCAGCCACUAUCAUCCUUCUGGAACUAUUUUUGCCUUUGCAAAUGAGUAAGUUUCACAAUUACAUUCUUAAUUUGAGUAUUGCCCUUACCUUCCUUGAUUGCAGGUGCUGAUUGAAGGUACAUGGAGGUUCCAGUCGGGUCCUGUUGCUGGGUUGGAGUGAUAUGCAUGGAAAUCUCUAUAUUGCAAAUCUUGGUGACUCAUGUGCUGUGUUAGGCACACUUGUCAAGCCAAGAGGGGAAGUUCUUGCUAUUCAGCUUUCAGCGGAACAUAAUACGUGCAUCGAGUACGAAGACGAGAGUUGCAUUCUGUUCACCCAGAUGAUCGGCAGAUAGUUGUAAUCAUAUGUAGUUCCUGUCUUCAGGUCCCAGAUCUGUCUUUCAAAAGCCGAGAACAACUCAAAAAAUGUAAGACUCUGAACUUGUAAAUAUAUACUUUUCACUAGCCAUUUGGGCUGCCACAAUGAUGUCUAACACCUUGAAGGCCUCAGUUGUGGUGUUUACCGGAACCGGCUCCAUGGCUAUUCUUCUCAGCCACUAUCAUCCUUCUGGAACUAUUUUUGCCUUUGCAAAUGAGUAAGUUUCACAAUUACAUUCUUAAUUUGAGUAUUGCCCUUACCUUCCUUGAUUGCAGGUGCUGAUUGAAGGUACAUGGAGGUUCCAGUUAGUAUUUAAAGUUGAAAGAAACAGGCACCUGCCCUGUAAAUUUAUCCUGGGUUUCUUUUGACUGGUUUCAGAGGUUAUGGACAAACUGGCAAAGGAGGAUAUUUUAACUAAAUGCGGAACAAAUGCUUACAUUAUUAAUAAGCUGAAGGUUUUUUAUAUAUAACUUAUGUUUCUAUUUAUUUCCUUGUUAGUUUUCCUUUCGUGAUCCUCACUGUCAUGGAAACAACAGUUCCAGAAAUCUGACUAUGAAUUUGAAGCUGUCAAAGAGGAAAAUUAUGGCCAGAUAUUUCGAAAUGGCAGUAAAGUUCAGCCAAACAUGGAUGAGGAUCAUAUGUGCAUGAGAUAAAUGUAGACCAACUAUAUUUGACUUGUAUAUAUUUUCUUUUUUAGGGGCGAAGUGUUUCUCUUCUGCUAACUAAGUACGGGAUCCAGUAACUAAUUAGCUUCUAUUCUUGUUUAUGUAUGUAUCCUCUCUACUGAAAACUCUUACUUCCAAUUUUUUUAAAGCUCCUUUAAGUUCUGGUUAAUGAGUUUUUGCAAGUUUUCAAUUUUACCUACAUAUGUGAGUCAAGAUAGAAAAUAAGUCUGAGAAGAAUGCAUAAAUUAUUUUUAGUUGUAAUCUAAUUUAUAAUUGCAGAUCUCAUAUGUUUUUGUAUAAGCUUUCUUGUAAGACUAUAAAUUUGUUUUAUCAAAUAUUUGUGUGGGAGUUAAUUUAUAGUGAUAAACAUAAUGUGAUGUCACCUAUCCUUUACCUUAUAGAAUAGUAGCGGUGAUCGCGGUGCGGGCGGUGCAGUUUUUCGCUAAAACCGCGAACCAAACCGCAUUGAAAACUCAAACCGAACUGCACCACGCUACAAAAAAACCGUAUAAACCGCAUCACAAAAAUGCGGUGCGGUUUGUAUGAAGAAUAAAUAUUUUUAGUUGAAGUCAUAAAAAAAAUUGAAUAUAUGAUAAUUAAAACCUUUUCUUGUAAUGAAUUCAUAUAAUAUUUAUCAUUUCAGAGCUGCAACAACUACUAAAAUAACACAAACAAAAGUGUAAAUAUAAUAAUAAAUAUAAAUACUAACUACUAAGAGACAUAUUAUUGUAAUAUAUUCAUAUCAUACUAAUUUGGUAUAAUAGUAAUGCAAGAUUGAUAAAAUAAUAAUUAAUUAUUAUUUGAAGAGAUUUAACAAAUAUAUGGAACAUAAUUAUAAAUAAUAUAUAUGUAUAUAAUAUAAUUUUAUUUGAUAAUCAUUAAUAUAUAUAUAUAUAUAUAGGCUCAUGAUCAAAUAGAAACCACUCUUAAAAUAAAAACUAGAAACCAGUUUACCUACCACUAUUUAUAACUACGGGUAUCACUAAUUUAUACUGCACUAAUCACUGUUUUUAUACAGUAUGUAAACAUCGAUUUUUCUUAUCAAAAUUGAGAAAAUCUACUUAUCAAAAUUAUUGAUAAUCGAUUAUAGAUGAUUAAUUUCAUCCGUAUGAAGGUUCUUGGUGGUAGGUUGCCGCAAGAGAAGUUGUAUGAUGAUAGUAAGUAGUCGUUAGUUUUGUAUGUUAUGAUGGAAAGUGUAUGUGACUAUUGGUGAUGAUAGACAAUAGUGGCAAGUCAUAGAAACGUUUGGUAAUGGUGGUAAGAGGUCCAUUAUUACGAUUUGGGUGAAGAUGAUGGUCAUAUACGUUGCAUAUAUGUGUAUAUAUAUAUUUAUAUUCGCGUGAUAUGAUAUAUAUAAAUUAGUGAUAUGUUAUGUACAAAUUAGUGAAUUCUGUAGUUAAAAAUAGUGAUAAAAAACUGUCCAAAAACUGGUUUUUAGUUUUUAGGCUAUUUUGGUUUCUAUUGGAGUAGGACUCUAUAUAUAUAUAUAUAUAUAUGUAUGUAUGUAUGUAUGUAUGUAUGUAUGUAUGUAUGUAUGUAUGUAUGUAUGUAUNNNNNNNNNNNNNNNNNNNNNNNNNNNNNNNNNNNNNNNNNNNNNNNNNNNNNNNNNNNNNNNNNNNNNNNNNNNNNNNNNNNNNNNNNNNNNNNNNNNNNNNNNNNUAUAUAUAUUAUAAUAUUGCGGUGCGGUGCAGUUUGAACCACACUACUAAUAUGUCAAACCGCAACCCGCACCGCACCGCGUGGUUUGUGAAAAAUACAAACCGCAACCGCACCACGAAAAUUAAAAACCGCGUUUUGUGGUGCGGUGCGGGCGGUUUACGCGGUUUGGACGGUUUUUUGAUCACCCCUAUAGAAUAGUAUUGCUCAAUUAUUUUACAAUCACUUGUAGGUAUUUUUAUCACGCUCUUGCAAUGGACUACAUUACUGUUUCCAUGUUUCACAACAAGCUCGAAGUAGAGAAGUAGAAGUCAACCAUACCACUGUGCACAAACUAAUUGAUAAGAUGACAAAAGAAGGGUUUGACGAAGCUCAAAGCAAUAGAAGACUUGGUGUGAAAAUGGAGCAUUAAAAUUACAUUUGGUGCAUGAAUCAGAUUUGUUGAUCGAUAUUUACAUAUUCCUUUUAUUUUUGUAGGCAAGCCGGUGAUCAAUCCUUAUUUAACUGAGAAAAAAUUGCAUGAAGUCGAGAAAAACAAACUUGAACCUUAAUUAGAUGGUGGAAGUUCUGUAGGCACAUUACAACGCAAGUUUCUAUAAUUUUCUUGUGAACAGAUUUUUAAUAUGAAAAUUAUGUUGAUAGGAGCUAAAAGAGCUCUAAAGGAAGAUGAACCACUUAAAACCUCAGACAAUUGUUACAUAAUUGAUCAAAUUAUUUCUCCUCUAACUUGAACAGAAUGAUUCACUACUUUAACUCUUUAGUGAUAACCAGGAAGCAAAGAAAAUUGUCUACUUGUGGCGGAGCUCAAUUAGAUCAGAUCUAACUCGCAUGAUAGCCGAGCCUGAUGCUUAUCAAAACGGAUGUGUCAGGAGUGACCAUACUGUUGUAAGGAUGAAAGAGCAUGGAACCCUCACAAGCAGAGCUCAGGUUUGUCCGGUCAACAACUGCCUUAAAUUUACCAAGUCAGAGAUGUUUUGCUUUUUGAUUUUCUAUGUUCCGUGACCCAAAAACCUGUAAUCUGACCUUUUUUAAUCAAGCAACCAACAGCUUCUAGAGAGAGUUUUGCACAAGUAAUGAAAAUUGUGAAAAUUGCAGGGAGUUUGAUGCAAUCAUGUGUAGCAAGUCGUCAUCUCAGAGCAAGUGGUCACAAAAGCAGGCAAUGCAAGUGCUGUAAGCUUCAUGGUUGUGUUUUUAUAUUUAGUUAAUUGUCAUCGGCCAUUAAAGAGAUCCAAUGUCAUAAGAUUAAUACUCUAUAUACACACACAAAAAGUAUCAUUUUCUGAUUUCAAAGUUGUGCAUGUAUAUCCCCCUUCUGUUAAUUAUAUGUAUAUCCUCACGAUAAGAUUUUUUAGUGCAGAAUAAGAAUGUAACAAUAAAAUGACAUAUUGUUGUUGAGUAUUACAGUAAUGACCAACCAACCUAAUUUCUAGAACGAAAGUAGUCUUAAACGACUCUUUUGUAGAGGCUUAAGUUUUCAUUUUUUUGGUGACAGGUUAAGGAUCCUAUCCUUCAGUGCACUAAACGCCAGAAGACUCAAGUCGCCUAAAAAGAAUCGGACUAUAUGGCCAUAUAAUUUCUGGUGCUUAUUUCUACUUAUCCCUAUUUCAUGAGCCUAAUAGACUUUUCUACUUCAUAUAUCACUUGAAUCAGUUUUCUACCUUUUUUUGUUGAGCCUUUUUUUUUAGUAUACAUUCUCUCUCAUUUCAUUCAACACUUCUUCUAUCAAGCAUGUAUAUCGAGCAUGUAUGUGUCCAUUUAUAAAAAUAAGCGAUUCAUACCAGGUUCGUGCCUUGCAUGCAGGGCCAUUCCAUACCUUUUGAGGGCUCAGGGGCCAAAAAAGAAAAUGGGCCCUAUUUUUUUUUUGCUUCGCUAAAUUUGAUAAAAUAUAACCUUGUAACAAUGCAAACUCAAAUUUUAGUCAACUUCCGUAAGAAAAUAACUAUAAAAUGAUGAAGUUUAGCGAUAAAGUGUACCGGAUGUAAAAAAAAGAAGAUUAAACAAAUAUUUGAUGACAUUUAUCUGUUAGUGCAUGAUUGAUAGUACCAUUAGUUUAGGUACGGACGUAGUCACUUAGGAUAGAAUAGGCUUACAGGACUGAUAUAUACUAAUAACAAUACAUAAAUUAUAAAAAUUUUGGGCCCUUAAAUUUUUUGGGCCCUGGGCGGUCGCCCUGGUUGCCCUCCCUCUGGGCCGGGCCUGCUUGCAUGGGCACUAAUGCUAGUUAAAACUGAUAUAACAAUCCAGUAUCUAUACACACUUAGCAUCUUUUUGCUCCAAAGCUUUGGCCUUCUUUUUCUGUUCUGCAAACCUACCUUCAAGCAUUGAAACCUUUUCUUCUAGUAAUGAAAUAUUUUCUUCCAAAUAAAUCCUUUUGUUAUUCAGUUGGGUUACAAUAUAUGUGCCUUCCUUCAAUCUCAACAUCGAACCAUUCAAACUAAUCACUGGUAAUUUUUUUUCAUAAUUAAAGAAAAAAUUCAUCACUAAUUCAUUGCUUGCAAUUAAUAAAACCAAAAACUUACUUAUGAUUGACAACAUGUAUUAAAUCUUUGUCUAGUGUUUUUCAAAGACCAAGAACGGUAAAUCUUUGCUUUCUGUCAGCAAAUCACAAAUAUUAUUAUGUGCUGAAAGUUGAGAAGAUCUUACUGAGUUCAUUGACCUGGAGCAAACUUGAGGUGAUUUUGCUGAGUUCAUUGACAUGGAGUUUUCAAAUAUCAGCUUUUUCAGAAGAACAUUAAUAUUUUUAAAUUUUUUGGAUAUAAAUGUUAAAGAAAUUUUAUAUUCGUUAUGUGAUUAAGAACAAGGAUUUGUUCAAAAAGUCUUAUUUUUUUAAACAUUAAUAUUUUUAUAAUUUUUUAGAUAUAAAUGUUAAAGAAGUAUUUUAUAUUCGUUAUUUGAUUAAAAACAAAGACUUAUUUUAAUAAAAGUUGAGUUUUAUGUAUUUUUUCCCUAGAAAUAAACUCUUAUUUUUCUGGAAAAUAGAAUUAGCCAAAAAGCACGCUUAGUUUUGGAAGUUUCGUUGUCUUGCAAUAUGACUUAUAGUCGGUUUGUCCUAGCGGACUUAAAACUGUUUCUGGCCUAUUUAUAUAAUAAGUUAAUUAGUUAUUUUUAUUAAACUGUGUAAUUUUUAAAAAUAAAUAUAUAAUUUAAAUUUUAAAAGUGCUUAUCAAAAAAUUGUAGAAGACUGAUUUUUUUUUUCUUCUUGCACACAAACACCACCUAGAUUAAAGAAAAUGGUCUCACCUGGGGUCAAAGUCAUUUUAAAUGCGUUACCAACAAUACAAAUGCAAAAGACAAGCAGCAUUCUCUUUUUUUAAAGAAACAACGGAGGAGCAGAGUUUCUAAAAACAAGGGCAAGUGCAAGAUGAAGACGAUGAUGAGAACGAGGAGGGCUUUCACUACUGGCCUCACUUCAAACACUCUUCUUCCACUCCCAAGACCUAUACUAUAUUCUCUUUUGGAUGGCUUAUUUCGUACGCGUAGGCUUGAUGAAGCACAAAAGUUUUAUAGGAAGAUGUUAAACCAAGGUGUUAAACUGGAUAUAGUGACAUGCAGGAUCUUGUUGCACGGACUUUGCUGGAAUGGACUUGCUGUAGAAGCAAUGUCCGUGUUGCAUGAGAUGGAGUCAUGUGGCUUAAUUCCUGAUAUACGCAUUUAUAAUAUCUUGAUUCAUGGAUUGUUCAAGGACGGCAAGGUUGAUGAGGCCAGAAGCCUUUUUUAUAAUCUUCGUUUGAAGGGUUUACAGCCUAGUGUCAUAUCUUACAACACUAUGAUCCAAGGAUUCUGUCAAGAGGGGUUGCUGGAAGAAGCAUAUAGCAUACUUUUGGAAAUGGAAGAAAACAAUUGCUUGCCUAAUGAAGUUACAUACAACACUCUUAUCUGUGGAUGCUUUAAGAAUAAGAUGUAUGAUGGAGCUUGUGUACUUAUAGAUGAGAUGUGCAUUCAUGGUUUCAAAGCAGAUGCCUCUACCACCUCCAUGCUAUUGGAUGUGCUGCAACCGAAGGAGCAGAACCCCGCCCUCCUUGCUAUGCAGAAGAAGUUCAUGCCUUGAGUACAUCAAUGAUCGAGUUUAUUAAGGUACAAAAUACUUUUAAAUUGCCGGAACUUUGUAAUAGUUUGCUAAAGAAACUUAAAUCAAUAGCAACUGUGAUAUUGGAGUUGAUAAAAUAUUUAAUUUCAUGAAAUAUUUACUUGGGAAAUGGUGGCCGUGUUGUAUUUGCAUCAUUUUACAAAAUGAGAAGUAUGAUAAAGCAUGCAUUUUUUCUUCGACAAAAUGCUAGAAGCUGGGUUCUCAGCGGAUGCAUACCACCAUUAUAGUUGCAUAAAGGUGUCUUGAGUGCAGCAAAUGUGAAGUACAUCAACAUUUCCAUUUAUUUUGUUGAUAUAUUAGUUCUUAGUAUUAUAUAUUCUGUUCUCUAUCUCUUUAUAAUUCUAAUAUCUCUUCUAAAAUACAGGGAAAUAAUCCAAAAUACUAUCCUCUGUUUCUAAAUUUGUUUUCUGUUUCAAAUAAUAAACUUGUUUUCAUUUUUACUAUGUUCACAAAUUUUUAUAUAAAUUGCCUAAAUUCAUUCGGUAAUACUCUAUGCAACUAAUAAGUAUAAACCCAUCUGUAACUAUUGUUUUAAAAUAUAACACCAUUCUGGAGAUGAUGAGAAAGGCUGUCACUAUAUCCUCUGUCUUACUCUUUACACCAUUUCUAAUUUAUUACUCACUUUCUCAUUUCUUCACUACCUGAUCCUAGUCCCAGUAUUAAAUCCCCCUAUAUUCCUUCUUCAUCUAUACCUCAUUUGCAGCUUCAGCCGUUACUUCAUUAAGAAUAUGAGGUUCGUUUUGGUUAACUAUUCUUGUGUGAUUGACUUCAAUCAACUGUUAUCCGCCAUCGUUAAAACAUAAUCGGAAAGUCUCUAUAUGAAGUUACAAUACUACACUCUUAUCCGUGGCUGCUUUAAGAAUAAGAUGUAUGAUGGAGGUUGUGUGCUGAUAGAUGAUAUUUGUGCUUAUGGUUUUAAAGCAGAUGCCACUACCACCUCCAUGCUAUUCGAUUUGCUGCAUUCAAAAGAGCAGGACCCCGCACUCCUUGCUUUGCAGAGAAGUUCAUGCCUUGAGUACAUCAAGGAGAGAGUGUAUUAUGGUACAAAAUACUUUUAAAAUGCCAGGACUUAC